UCCGCUUUUAAAACCUUUCACCUGAUUAAUUUGUUUUAUGAAAACUUGAACCUCUGUUUCUUCCCUUACAUUCAUACUUUUACAACUUUAUUCCGUAUGGACGCAUUUCAAUCCCGGAGUAGAUAAGGUCUCCAGUCUACUAUGGAUGAGGAGAGAGAGGAUGGGGGUUCUACCUCUAAAACCACUCUGUCUGGGGAACAUGGCCGCCAGAGCAAAGCUACGAGCCCAGAGCAGCAGGAGAGAGCAGACUCCCCUGGACCCAGCUGUGUCUCCAUGAAGAGUGACCGCUCUAUGGGUAUACCUCCUGAGCUUAAAGAUAGACGCCCCUCCAGAGAGGAGGGGCGUAUUGGCUAUUAUUAUUCGUGUUUGUAUACGUGUUUGCAUUUGUGUUGGUGUUCUUGUUUGUAUUCUUGUUUGCAUUCAUGGUCAAAAAGCGAUAUCGCUCCAGACUGUAUGGCGUGU
ensembl:lncRNA